AGAGUUUGAUCCUGGCUCAGAACGAACGCUGGCGGCAGGCUUAACACAUGCAAGUCGAACGAGAAGCUAGGGCUUGCCCUAGUGGAAAGUGGCAGACGGGUGAGUAACGCGUGGGAAUUUACCUAAAGGUACGGAAUAACGCAUGGAAACGUGUGCUAAUACCGUAUACGCCCUUCGGGGGAAAGAUUUAUCGCCUUUAGAUGAGCCCGCGUCGGAUUAGUUUGUUGGUGAGGUAAUGGCUCACCAAGACUACGAUCCGUAGCUGGUCUGAGAGGAUGAUCAGCCACACUGGGACUGAGACACGGCCCAGACUCCUACGGGAGGCAGCAGUGGGGAAUAUUGCACAAUGGGCGCAAGCCUGAUGCAGCCAUGCCGCGUGAGUGAUGAAGGCCUUAGGGUUGUAAAGCUCUUUCACCGGUGAAGAUAAUGACGGUAGCCGGAGAAGAAGCCCCGCUAACU
rnacentral:rRNA from 1 species